GACGAACGCUGGCGGCGUGCCUAAUACAUGCAAGUCGAGCGGACUAGCGUUUUCUUCGGAAAACGCAGGUUAGCGGCGGACGGGUGAGUAACACGUAGGUAACCUGCCUGCAAGACCGGGAUAACAUUCGGAAACGAAUGCUAAUACCGGAUACGCGAAUCUCUCGCAUGGGAGAAUCGGGAAAGACGGAGCAAUCUGUCACUUGCAGAUGGACCUGCGGCGCAUUAGCUAGUUGGUGAGGUAAUGGCUCACCAAGGCGACGAUGCGUAGCCGACCUGAGAGGGUGAUCGGCCACACUGGGACUGAGACACGGCCCAGACUCCUACGGGAGGCUG
rnacentral:rRNA from 1 species